UACAGAGGGGGCAAGCGUUAUUCGGAAUUAUUGGGCGUAAAGGUCGCGUAGGCGGCGAUUCAAGUGACGGGUGAAAUCCCUCGGCUUAACCGAGGAACUGCCUGUCAGACUGGGUUGCUUGAGACCGGGAGAGGCGAGUGGAAUUCCCAGUGUAGCGGUGAAAUGCGUAGAUAUUGGGAGGAACACCAGUGGCGAAGGCGGCUCGCUGGACCGGAACUGACGCUGAGGCGCGAAAGCGUGGGGAGCAAACAGG
rnacentral:rRNA from 1 species